GACGAACGCUGGCGGCGUGCCUAAUACAUGCAAGUCGAACGAGUGGCGGACGGGUGAGUAACACGUGGGAACCUACCCAUCAGAGGGGGAUAACACUUGGAAACAGGUGCUAAUACCGCAUACUGAUGGAUGGACCCGCGGUGCAUUAGCUAGUAGGUGGUGUAAAGGCUCACCUAGGCGACGAUCUCUAGCUGGUCUGAGAGGAUGAGCAGCCACACUGAGACUGAGACACGGCCCAGACUGCUACGGAAGGCAGCAUUGGGGAAUAUUGCACAAUGGGCGCAAGCCUGAUGCAGCCAUGCCGCGUGUAUGAAGAAGUCCUUAGGGUUGUAAAGUACUUUCAGCGGGGAGUCGUUAACCGCAGAAGAAGCACCGGCUAACUCCGUGCCAGCAGCCGCGGUAAUUC
rnacentral:rRNA from 1 species